rnacentral:lncRNA from 1 species
AUGGUCAUAGCUAGUCCUUCUUAAAGCUCUAGCCAGUGGGAAAGCGUUUGUGUUUCUAUCCUUGGAGCUCCAAGUGGGACUUCUUAAAAGAUUUAGAAGGAGCAAAGCUGUCAGGAAAUCAGAAACGUCACAUGGACUCCAUGACUGGGAAAAACCUCGUGGUGGCCUGCUCUCAGUGCUUGGAUGUGUGCUAGUUACAUCUCGGAGAGAGCCGAGUUCUGUCACCACAGACAUUGGCAGUGGCACUUGCAUGCCCCUGGCAAGCAGUCUAUCCUGAGGUGGAGGAAGUUGCCCUUGAGUUCUGGCUGGUAACCAGCACAGUAUACCCUUUAAGCGUUCCAGAAGGAUUUUGAGAUCCUUUCCUAAAUCAAAGGUGGAAUAUUUGGGGAUUUGGAAAAUUGAGAUGUGAAGCGUUGACUUAAGAGAUGCCAAGUAACUCAGCAGAUGUCACACAGACGAUAAAUAGCAAAGAUGGAAGUCUUCAUGCCGGAGGCAAUCCUAUAAGACAGCUGAGUUCUGCAGAGCUGGAGACAGACUUGCUCAGGUGAUAGAUCCAGCCAUGAUACUGACCCUAAGAGAAUGAGACGCUCUGCAGAAGACAGAAGAUUCCUGAAACUGGGAAAGGUGCCUAGAAAUCCUGAUAAGAGUGAAGAAGGGUACCUGGAGGCACAGCAGCCAUGUUGAACCUAUGAGGUGAUGAAAAACCAUGCAACUAGAAACCAGAAUGGAAGAAAAGAAGAAGCUGGAUCCUUGACUGAAUUGUCGAUGGGGGAUAGUCCAUCAUCCCAGGGCUAAGACCACCUCCAGAUUUCUUGUUUGGUGAAACAAGUCCUGAUUGUUUACAUUCCCUCGUGUUGAGCUGUCUCUUGCUUGUAGCUGAAAGCAUUUCUAAUAGAUAUUCAGAUUAUCAGCCUUAGCUCCAAGCUAGAAUACUCUAUGGGACCUUAGCUUCUCCAUGAAUUCCUUUGCUCAUCUGUGUAAUGCUCAAUAAAUGUAAAUUGAACCCUGAAUGAGGGACAAUGACAC